GACGAACGCUGGCGGCGUGCUUAACACAUGCAAGUCGAACGGAAAGGCCCUGCUUUUGUGGGGUGCUCGAUUGGCGAACGGGUGAGUAACACGUGAGUAACCUGCCCUUUACUUUGUGAUAACUUCAGGAAACUUGGGCUAAUACCGGAUAGGAUCUCCUGCUGCAUGGUGUGGGUUGGAUAGUUUCGGCGGUUGGGGAUGGACUCGCGGCUUAUCUGCUUGUUGGUGGGGUAGUGGCUUACCAAGGGUUUGACGGGUAGCCGGCCUGUGAGGGUGACCGGCGAAAUUGGGACUGAGAGACGGCCCAGAAGGGAACGGGAGGCAGCAGUGGGGAAUAUUGCAAAAUGGGGGGAAGCCUGAGGAAGCAAGGCCGGGGGCGGGAUGACGGCCUUCGGGUUGUAAACCGAUUUAGAAUGUGACGAAGAGGGAGUGACGGUAAUGGGUAAAGAAGCACCGGCUAACUACGUG
rnacentral:rRNA from 1 species